AUUAUUUCGCAAUUCGUAUUAGACGACACGUGGAAGCAAGAAAGACGCCAUUUUGAAGGUUCGUUGUCAUCAUGAGCUUCGAUAGCAGCCGAGGGCCACCUCAAAUUGAGGGAAUGACUAGUCUAAAAGUCGACAACCUCACUUAUCGUACAACCACGGGUGAUUUGACCAAGGUAUUCUCGAAAUACGGCGAACUCGGUGACGUUUACAUCCCGCGCGAUCGCUACAAACAAGAAUCCCGAGGGUUUGCUUUUGUCAGAUUCCACGAGAAACGCGAUGCUGAAGACGCAAUGGAUUCCUUACAUGGAACAAUCAUCGAUGGACGAGAAAUCCGAGUGCAGAUGGCAAAAUACGGAAGACCCUCAGAAUCUUACAAGCCGCGUAAUCGUUACAGAAACUCGAACUACGGCGGCUCACGAUAUCGUUCACGUUCACGGUCCCCUAGACGCAGGGCACGUCGCUCUCGUUCCAGAUCGCCUCGUUAUCGCCGCUCACGAUCACAUUCGCGCUCACCACGCAGAACUCGUCAAAGUCACUCACGGUCACCAAGGAAACAAGAUAGUCGUUCCCGGUCCAGAAGUCCACGUCGUAGAAGAUCACAUUCGAGAUCACGUUCAAAGUCAGGCUCAAAACCAAGGCAGUCUCGUUCCAGGUCCCAUUCUCGCUCUAAAUCCCUUUCAAGGUCUCCAAAGAAUAUAAAGUCAAGAUCUCAUUCUAGGUCUCCCAAGCAAAGAAGGUCCCCAACUCCUGACCGAGGAAGUCAAGAAGGUGAUGGAGAGAAUGAUGGCCCUUCCCAAAACAACCAGUCGAAUGUCGAUGAUGGAGCAGAAAACAAUGCAGAUGACUAAGCUUUCCAUCCUGGUUUUACUUUGACUGUGGUGCAGUAAUCAGUUUCUUUUAAGUAUUCUCUUCCAGGGUUUGUUGCUGUUCUGGAGAAGGGGAGUAAACUUUUGUUGCAGAGCAUAGAGGGAAUGGAAUGGGCGUUCCUCCGUUUUAGGCGCAGUUUAUUUAUACUUGCUGUGCGGGUUGACUGGUCAUGCUGUGACCAUGGCUGCAGUGUUUUGCUGUUUUCUGCCGUUGACGAAGGAGCCCAUGCUGUUGCAGACUCCUGUUAGUUGGCGUUGUCGCUGUCCAGUUUCCUGAUUGGUUGCUGAUCGUCAAUCAUUCUAUUCAACUAAAUUUGCCCUUUAAGUCCAAAGAGUGAUCAUAAGUAAUCUGUCCUUGUUUUGUUGAGCUAAACAAUAAUGCAAGCCAGAAGAUGAUCACUAAAGGGAUAUUGUCUUGAUAUUUAUACAAAUUCUCCCAACAAGUGCCUUUUUCAAAUUAUCAUGGCCGGCAGGGAGAAUUUGUAUUGUGCAUGGGUUACUGACCAAGCGUGAGGGCAAGAUGGCUGGACAUUGGCUGAGUUCUUUUGUGUGUGUUUAUGGACCAAGAUGGAGUCUAGGUCCAUAAAC
rnacentral:misc_RNA from 1 species